CUCACAGCGAGCAGCUCGAGGAGCAGAAAGCAGCGUCGUCUUGCUGGGAACAUGCAACAGCGAGUAAAAGAAGCAGCAGAAGGUGAUCAGAGGUUUGGAAACCCACAUCUGUCUCGUCCAGAGACUCAACCUGAACAGAACAAAAUCUGAGGAAGAUGAACAGCAUCACGUGUAAAGAAGGAGCAGAAAGAGGAGGAGAUGAUGGUAUAUAACAAAGGCUGCAGCUGCCUUUUCUUCUUCUUCUCUUAAAGCAGGGUGAAAAAUGACAUAAUGGCAUUCAUGCUCAGGUGACCUCACUUGAACACUGAUACUCUUGAAAUUAAUCUGACUGUUUAGUCUUUUUAAGAUGUGU